GACGAACGCUGGCGGCGUGCUUAACACAUGCAAGUCGAACGGAAAGGCCCUGCUUUUGUGGGGUGCUCGAGUGGCGAACGGGUGAGUAACACGUGAGUAACCUGCCCUUGACUUUGGGAUAACUUCAGGAAACUGGGGCUAAUACCGGAUAGGAGCUCCUGCUGCAUGGUGGGGGUUGGAAAGUUUCGGCGGUUGGGGAUGGACUCGCGGCUUAUCAGCUUGUUGGUGGGGUAGUGGCUUACCAAGGCUUUGACGGGUAGCCGGCCUGAGAGGGUGACCGGCGACAAUGGAAGUGAGACAGCAACAUGAGGACUGAGGGAGGGAGCAGACGCGAACGGGGGGCAGUAGGGGGGAGUAUGACACAAUGAGAGGAAGCGUGUUAAGGAGGCGCCGCGGGUGUAAAGACGGCCUGCGGGUAGUAAAACGCAUUAGCCUGUGACGAAGCGUGAGUGACGGUAAUGGAUAAAGAAGCACCGGCUAACUACGUG
rnacentral:rRNA from 1 species